rnacentral:misc_RNA from 1 species
CGUGACGGUGUCGGACGACGCUUCCACAAACAGGUACACGCGCUUCUCCUGCGGGAUCUUCGCUUCGCCCUUCGCGGUGCGCUUGAGCGUCGCGAGCUCUUGCGCUUGCGCCGCGGCGGCUUGUUUCGUCUUCGACACGGGCGCUUUGGGGAGGUUGGCUUUCUUCGAGGCGCCCCAAGCUCUCAGCCUGUCGAGCGCAGCGCCGACUUUCUCUUUCUGGG